UGCCAGGAGAGUUGUCCAGAUCGAGGAA
rnacentral:piRNA from 1 species